AACGCAUCUUGCGCUUUCGGGUUAUUCCUGGAAGCAUGCUUGUUUGAGUGUCGCGAAACUCUCAACCCCGCUCCAAUGUAAAUUGGAGUAGCUUGGGCUUGGAUCAUGACUCUUGUCGUUUGCUUGCAAUCGACUGGGUUGAAAUACAACGAGCUGAAUCAUUAGACUUGCGGCUUGACCUGUCGUUGUAGCAAUACAAACCUCGAUGGGGACGCAAGAAACUGAGUGAGCUUAUCAAAAUUGCAAUCCGCUAAUACGAGUCCGCUCUAAUUAGUGCAUUCUGACCUCAAAUCAAGUAGGACUACCCGCUGAACUUAA
rnacentral:misc_RNA from 1 species